ACAGCUAUAUCACAUUGAAACACUGGUUCUGGCAUGAUCACUGAAGUUAAGCAACAUCAAGCCUGGUCAGUACUUAGAUUGGUGAAUGCUUGAGAAUACCAAGUGCUGUUA